rnacentral:rRNA from 1 species
AAUCAACGCUGGCGGCGUGCCUAACACAUGCAAGUCGAACGAGAAAGUGGAGCAAUCCAUGAGUACAGUGGCGCACGGGUGAGUAACACGUGACUAACCUGCCUUCGAGUGGGGAAUAACCUCGGGAAACCGGGGCUAAUACCGCAUAACAUCAUCGGGUGAAAUUCCUGCUGAUCAAAAGUUUUUUGCUUGAAGAGGGGGUCGCGGCUGAUUAGCUAGUUGGUGGGGUAACGGCCCACCAAGGCAGUGAUCAGUAGCCGGCCUGAGAGGGCGAACGGCCACACUGGAACUGAAACACGGUCCAGACUCCUACGGGAGGCAGCAGGGGGGAAUGUUGCGCAAUGGGGGAAACCCUGACGCAGCAACGCCGCGUGGAGGAUGAAGUCCCUUGGGACGUAAACUCCUUUCGAUCGGGAAGAAUAAUGACGGUACCGGAAGAAGAAGCCCCGGCUAACUUCGUGCCAGCAGCCGCCGUAA